GACGAACGCUGGCGGCGUGCUUAACACAUGCAAGUCGAACGGAAAGGCCCUGCUUUUGUGGGGUGCUCGAGUGGCGAACGGGUGAGUAACACGUGAGUAACCUGCCCUUGACUUUGGGAUAACUUCAGGAAACUGGGGCUAAUACCGGAUAGGAGCUCCUGCUGCAUGGUGGGGGUUGGAAAGUUUCGGCGGUUGGGGAUGGACUCGCGGCUUAUCAGCUUGUUGGUGGGGUAGUGGCUUACCAAGGCUUUGACGGGUAGCCGGCCUGAGAGGGUGACCGGCCAAAUGGGGAAGGAGAACCGGCCCAAACCCUAAGGGGGGGAAGGGGGGGGGAAAAUUGCACAAGGGGGGGAAGCCGAAGGCAGAAACGCCGGGGGGGGGAGGAGGGCCUUCGGGUUGAAAACCCUUUUCCCCUGUGACGAAGGGUGAGGGGGGGGAAUGGGAAAAGAAGCACCGGCUAACUAAGU
rnacentral:rRNA from 1 species